AUUCACUCCACUGGUCUUUCCUGAGCGAGCCCACAACACGGGUGGCAGUGUAUGAUUAUAUCUGGAAGGACCAUGGCAGCCACUCUGGUGUCUCCAGCUGUGACCUCCAGCCCCAGGAUGCGAUCUGUGACUCAAGAGGUACCACUGUUCACGUGUCGGUGUUCACUGUGCACCUCAGCGGCUUCCAGCAGCUCUACAGACACUUCCUCCGGCUGCCUGAUGGGGCUAUCGUUGAGCACCCUUCGGAGUACUCCCUUCCACAAAUUUUCCCGUCUGAUCCAUUUACAGGGCAUAAUAUUAUCCAUUUUCUGGCAGAAAGGGGUGCAAUACCUCACAAGAAGAAGCGCAUUCCCCUUUUGUUCUUCAUUCUCCUCCUCACCCUGCCAGCAUCAGGGUAGGAGAGAAGUUUCUUCCUCCAUGGUGGCAAGGACAUAGAUUGUCACCUGUUCUCUCCCUGCCUGAUGAAUGACAGCUGCCUUUCCUCUUUCUAUAUGAUCAGCAAGCCUAUUUCUUCCUAACAGAGAUCAGAUAUUUGUGCAGAAUACCCUCUUGGGACUGUAGGGACAUGGCCUGUAUCAACAGUGGUGGUUUUUGACAACAGUGACUUGACCUGCCUUUGCAUAUACAUCUACCUCAUCUAUAGAUCUACAGAGUCCGCUGAGUACAAAAACCCCAACCAAUUUCUGCUUCAUUUUUUUCUCUCUUUUUAUAAUUAGUUAUUGUACUAUAGUAUAACUGCAGGAUACAAUGAAUAGUUCCACAGUAUCUAGAAAUGGAACCUUCUUCCUGUAAAGCAGUCAUGCUUUUUAUUACAGCAAGCCACUGGAGGUGAAAGUGUAGUUAUUUCAGUGUGAAUUCUUGUUUGUUAAUCUUUAUUAAAACAUUCUGAAGACAGCAAAAUGAAAAGGCAUUGGCUUUUAACUUUCAAUGAUUUUCAGGAAUUAUGCCUGAAAGACCUGUAACACCUCUUCUUAAUUACUAUAUUGAGCCUUCAUUAAUUUAAACAUUUUGGGACUAACGUCCUUCCACCAGAUGCAUAAUGCUUUGUGUCACUGCUGCAUGAUGGUUAUUUGGUAUUGGCAAGUCGUCUUCAGAAAUAGUACAUUGAUUUUAAUACUGUGAUAAUACUAUGGGCAGAAAACAACACAGAAAUGAUAAUAACUUCAACAUCUAAGUGCAAACGUGGGCACUGUGAAAAGCAUAAGCCAUACUUUUUUAGCUUUAAACUGACUGAGGUGUUCAUGUGGGCCAGUGAACUUGAAGUUAUGAGGAUGGCAGUACUUCUCAUCAAGCAGUCUGGUAUGAGAAUGUUAUUUAAAUCACUAAGCCAAAUUCUCCCUGAAAUUCAUGCGUAUGACUACUAACAGCAUCUAUUACAAAGUCUCAAACUGAUCUUUCUGUAUCUGCAGAUACUCUUUGACAGACAUAAAAGGAAUUUUGAAUAAUUUUGUUUCAGUGCAAGGGAUUAGUAUAAGGCUGCUUGUUGGGAAUUCACAUUAUAUUAUAAUCACAACUGGUUUUAACUUCAGUGGAAGCUAGAUUUUCUUCUAGCUCUAAUUCAGCAAAGAACUUAAGUGUGAGCUUCACUUAAGCCAAGGAGCCAAAACUCACUCACUUAAAUAUUGCUCUCAUUGUUCUACAGCAUGCAAGGGCUGCUAUGAAGAGCUAUGUAAAGGAGUAUACUUUGCAGGAAAAUAGCAUCUAUGUAAUAAUGUCUUUAAAAUAUGCAUGUUCUUCUAGGGAUAGUAUUCCCAUUAACGGUCUAACUUUGCUAGUAUGUAACGUAUAUAAAUAUAUUGUCGGGUAUCACAAGUCGUUUUACAGGUUUUGUAUGCACGUGGCAAAAAGUAGCUGCUUUAAAAGGAACAUUAAGUACAAGGUGACAAGUAUAAAUUGCUGUAGAAAUGUUAAAUAAAAAGAUUUUUUUUGAAGUGUGCAGCAUAAAAAUUAUAGAGGUUAAACAUGUAAGUGCAGUCCUUUUAUCAGAAGCAUUGUAAAACUCAAAGAAUUCCCAUGCAAUAAAACCCAUUUUCUGUUUUACCUAUAAUAUAUUUCUCCUUUAUAGUAUUCAAUUUAGAUGUUGGCUAACCAA